rnacentral:rRNA from 1 species
GAUGAACGCUGGCGGCGUGCCUAAUACAUGCAAGUCGAACGCUGAAGGAGGAGCUUGCUCUUCUGGAUGAGUUGCGAACGGGUGAGUAACGCGUAGGUAACCUGCCUGGUAGCGGGGGAUAACUAUUGGAAACGAUAGCUAAUACCGCAUGACAACAGUUAUUGCAUGAUAACUGUUUAAAAGGGGCAACUGCUCCACUACCAGAUGGACCUGCGUUGUAUUAGCUAGUUGGUGAGGUAACGGCUCACCAAGGCGACGAUACAUAGCCGACCUGAGAGGGUGAUCGGCCACACUGGGACUGAGACACGGCCCAGACUCCUACGGGAGGCAGCAGUAGGGAAUCUUCGGCAAUGGACGGAAGUCUGACCGAGCAACGCCGCGGGAGUGAAGAAGGUUGUCGGAUCGUAAAGCUCGGUUGUAAGAGAAGAACGAGUGUGAGAGUGGAAAGUUCACACUGUGACGGUAUCUUACCAGAAAGGGACGGCUAACUACGUG